rnacentral:rRNA from 1 species
UACGGGGGGGGUAAGCGUUGUUCGGAAUUACUGGGCGUAAAGGGCGCGUAGGCGGCCUUCUAAGUCGAACGUGAAAUCCCUGGGCUCAACCCAGGAACUGCGUCCGAUACUGGAAGGCUUGAAUCCGGGAGAGGGAUGCGGAAUUCCAGGUGUAGCGGUGAAAUGCGUAGAUAUCUGGAGGAACACCGGUGGCGAAGGCGGCGUCCUGGACCGGCACUGACGCUGAGGAGCGAAAGCGUGGGGAGCGAACAGG